GACGAACGCUGGCGGCGUGCUUAACACAUGCAAGUCGAACGGAAAGGCCCUGCUUUUGUGGGGUGCUCGAGUGGCGAACGGGUGAGUAACACGUGAGUAACCUGCCCUUGACUUUGGGAUAACUUCAGGAAACUGGGGCUAAUACCGGAUAGGAGCUCCUGCUGCAUGGUGGGGGUUGGAAAGUUUCGGCGGUUGGGGAUGGACUCGCGGCUUAUCAGCUUGUUGGUGGGGUUGUGGCUUACCAAGGCUUUGACGGGUAGCCGGCCUGAGAGGGUGACCGGCCACAUGGGGACUGGGAACCGGCCCGAGGUACGUCGGGGGGGAGGAGGGGGGAAUUGUGCAAAAGGGGCGGAGGCGUGGUGGAGGAACGCCGGGGGGGGGAGGACGGCUUUGGGGUUGUAAACCGCUUUCGCCUGUACCGAGGCGUGGGGAAGGGAAAUGGGUAAAAAAGAACCGGUAACUUACGU
rnacentral:rRNA from 1 species